GGCACAAAGGAUUUGGUCUGAGACUGAGUUAGGACGGGGACGAAGAGUGGAGAGACCCGGCUGGAGGACGCUUCCUUCGGGUCCUCUUUCUGCCGGCCCCAUCGCCCCUCACCUGCGUGCGAGGGGCGACCUCGAGGCGGUAGGGGGCGCCGCCACCUCGGGCCAGCACCACCUGCGGGGCCAGGACCUCCUUCUCCGCCUGUAACCGGUGCCCGGCGGCCGCGGUCCGGGCCUUGUCCAGCAGCACGAGGUGGCGCCCUCGCACCCAAAGCCCCGACCCCUCCUCCAGCAACGGCUCCCCUACUCCGCGUGCAUCGUCUCUCAGCAGCCUUCUGUGCACCUGCGGGGAGAGUGGCCAGGAGAGGGAUCUCCCGGCCAUUGCUGUCAGUGUAGAAGAGUCCGUCUGUCUCCAGCACAGUGUCAAAGCGACUGAUGACCUCCUUCCCCCAGCCAUCACUAUACCCAAUGGGAUGGCAAGGUGCUCCAGGUGCCGCUGUCCCGGGUACAGACGAACCACCUGGGAACACCAGGCUGAGAAGUUCUGGUGCACUUCCUGCACCAAGGCUGUCUGCAAGUACAUGGGGGUGAAGGGCAGGUGUAAGCGUGCAGCUGAGCAGAGGGGACAUGGGUUCGAGCCCUGGUCCAGGAAGAUCCCACAUGCCACAGAGCAACUAAGCCCGUGUGCCACAACUACUGAGCCUGUGUUCUAGAGCCCGCAAGCCACAACUACUGAGCCCGAAUGCCACAACUACUGAAGCCCGCACGCCUAGAGUCCAUGCUCCACAACAAGAGAAGCCGCCACAAUGAGAAGCCUGCGCGCCGUAAUGAAGAGUAGCCCCCCCUCUCCGCAACUAGAGAAAAAGCCCGCACACAGCAAUGAAGACCCAAAGCAGCCAAAAAUUUUAAAAAAUUAAAAAAUAAAAAACAAUAGAAGA